rnacentral:rRNA from 1 species
ACUCCUACGGGAGGCAGCAGUAGGGAAUCUUCCACAAUGGGCGCAAGCCUGAUGGAGCAACACCGCGUGAGUGAAGAAGGGUUUCGGCUCGUAAAGCUCUGUUGUUAAAGAAGAACACGUAUGAGAGUAACUGUUCAUACGUUGACGGUAUUUGACCAGAAAGUCACGGCUAACUACGUGCCAGCAGCCGCGGUAAUACGUAGGUGGCAAGCGUUAUCCGGAUUUAUUGGGCGUAAAGAGAGUGCAGGCGGUUUUCUAAGUCUGAUGUGAAAGCCUUCGGCUUAACCGGAGAAGUGCAUCGGAAACUGGAUAACUUGAGUGCAGAAGAGGUAGUGGAACUCCAUGUGUAGCGGUGGAAUGCGUAGAUAUAUGGAAGAGCACCAGUGGCGAAGGCGGCUACCUGGUCUGCAACUGACGCUGAGACUCGAAAGCAUGGGUAGCGAACAGGAUUAGAUACCCCUGGUAGGAUAGCG